GUUGGUAAAGGGCGCCGGGUCUGUCAUCUUGGUAAAGGGGCGCUUUCUUUUUCGUUUCGUUGGCUCAUUCAUUCUGCAAAUUUUGAGGAAGAGCCUUUAACAUGCCAAGCACCCGGCUAGAAUUCGGCGGCACGCAGCCUCUGCCCUCGUGAAGCUUACAUCCAUUCAGUGCACCCACAUUUUAGCCCUACUAUGGCCCAGGCGCUGCUGUGAGUUCUAGGACUAGGGUGAUAAACGAAAUUGCUAUAGUCCCUGCCCUUAGGAGGCAGAUAAGCAACAAGAGCAAAUGAAUAAAUUAAUUGUAAGAAAUGAGAAAAACUGUGAGUGUUGUGAACACAACAAACACUCAAUGUGCUCAGAGAAAAUUGAAGGGAGGAAUGGGAAAUGUAAACACAUGAAAAAGUAGUGGGCAGCGUGAUCAAAGUCGAAGGAACAUCUGCUGAGGAUCUGGGUUCUGAGAUGUCCAAGAAUAUGAAGAACAGAAGUUCACCUGAAUGCUGCAGAGUCCCUACUCCUCUUUCCACUCCAAGCUGUCUUCUAUUGUACCAAGACUCUUUCCACUGCAACAAGGUUGAGACUCUAAAGCUGCAACUCUAUCAUAAGGAAAAAAGGGACUAUAUCAUCUCAGCUAGGCCAGCUGAGAUGCCAGCCAUGUAAUUGAAGAGGCCAUCUUGGACAAUUGAGCCAGUCAUGCCUCUGA